GACGAACGCUGGCGGCGUGCCUAAUACAUGCAAGUAGAACGCACAGUUUAUACCGUAGCUUGCUACACCAUAGACUGUGAGUUGCGAACGGGUGAGUAACGCGUAGGUAACCUGCCUGGUAGCGGGGGAUAACUAUUGGAAACGAUAGCUAAUACCGCAUAAUAUUAAUUAUUGCAUGAUAAUUAAUUGAACGGUGCAAUUGCACCACUACCAGAUGGACCUGCGUUGUAUUAGCUAGUAGGUGAGGUAACGGCUCACCUAGGCGACGAUACAUAGCCGACCUGAGAGGGUGAUCGGCCACACUGAGACUGAGACACGGCCCAGACUCCUACGGGAGGCAGCAGUAGGGAAUCUUCGGCAAUGGACGAAAGUCUGACCGAGCAACGCCGCGUGAGUGAAGAAGGUUGUCGGAUCGUAAAGCUCUGUUGUAAGGGAAGAACGGGUGUGAGAGUGGAAAGUUCACACUGUGACGGUAUCUUACCAGAAAGGGACGGCUAACUACGUG
rnacentral:rRNA from 1 species